UGGGAAAUACUUUUCUGGGCCGCCGCUUCAAAUGUUUGAGUUGGACCUUGCUGAGGCUGGUUGCAUCCCGAAUCAGCCAAAGCUUGGGUUCUUUCUCUCCGUUUCUCCACUGGCAAUAGAUCACGAACAGGAAACAGAAAAACAACAUCGUUACUACAUAUAACGCUGAAAAAAAAAGGAAUUGUGCGCAGAUCUGUUUGUCUAUAUCAAUUAAAGGGAGGUUUAAUCGACAAACCGGAGGAGCUGAGUAAGUUGAGCAGCUUGAGCAAAGUUUUUAUCUUCACGAGCUUUCAAAAUGCUAAGCAUUAGGUUCGCCUUGAUUGGAUUGCAAUCAAUCUGCUUGGAUAUGAUCAUAUUCUCCUCUUUGAGUUUCUGGCAUUCGGGUUUUAUCUCUUCAAUCUCUUGUCUUGUUUCUUCUUUUCGUUUUUGUCCCUCGCUGAUCUCCUCCGUAACAGCUUUCAGCUCUUCCACUAAUCUUUCCCUCCUCCCUGGCGGCUUCUUGAUAUUUUUCUCUCUUUUCUGUAGGGCAGGCCGCCGCCGCCCAUGCAUGUAAAAUAUGUUAAUUAAUUAUAACGUAAAAAGAUAUUAUUAUUGUCAUAA